rnacentral:lncRNA from 1 species
CUCUGCCUGUCAGUGUGGAGCUCACAAUGGACUGGGGGUGGCAAUGAGCCAACCUAGGCCAUAGGUCUUAAGAUGGCUCACUGUGGGGAUGAGGGGUGUGUGGGGGUCCUAGCUGGGGGGGAGAGGGACAUGCACUGGAGAUUAAGAGCACAGCAGGACCACUGGCAUCUGGCUGUGGGCAACAAGAAUCUCUCAGGAUGUCUCGAAGCCUCCCCUCUCCAAAAGCAGCAAAAUCGUCAUGGCGAUCCAGCCCAAACUGGUGGCCGAUGCUGCUUCUAGCAGCCUUCAUCUUCAGCUGCACUUGUGUCACCCGAAGCCACGCUGCCAAGGAAGCUACCAUUGAGAUCAUGACAGAGCCCUCCCAACUUCUAGUAGGCAUGGACGUCAACCUGUUACUAAGGGCAACCCGACAAGAAAUUAAAUCCUGCGUCUGGUUCCGAGGACAUCGGCUAAAGCAAUUUGCCAUCUUGACCUAUCGGCCACCCAAUGAAACAAUCCACAACGAAUCCUACACCGGUCGGGAGACAGUACAAAAAGAUUGCUCGCUUUACAUCAAAAACUUGACCCUCGAUGACAACGACUUCUACUCGGUCAAAAGGGUUUUGCAGGAUGGCUUGACAGAAUUUGGGACAACACCCUUACUGAUCAGAGAGGUACUGGAGUCUCCAGAACCAAGGCAGGCGCUCUCCCCAGGCGUUACCUUCGGUGUUGUGGCUGGUUGCCUUAUGGGCCUCAUGUUCAUAACUGGGAUGUUCGUGUUCCGGGCGGCAGGGAGUGAACAGUUUCAAAGAGAAGGCAGCAGCCGACCGUCUGAAACCCAGGUGGGGACCGAGGAAGAAGCCAAAUGACCAGACCUGUGUAAAUACCAGCCCUACAAGAUGAGACCGGAAAGAAAAGAUGGUCAUCGUAGUCCAGAACAUCGUCAGCGUUCAAGUGUGGAACAACUUCAGACUAAUUUACAAAACUUCUUCCCCUUGACCUCCCAGUUAAGGAAUGCCAUACACAUGGGAAUCAACGGUGAAAUGAUCAAGGGCAUCGUUCUGCUUCAGAACAGUGGCACUUAUGCUCAUCCAGAGCCUUGGGGCAAAGAGGGGGAGACUAUGCUAUCAGCUGAUAGAAAUAAAAGGCUCCAGUGCCCAUUUCUGUCUGUGUCU